ACACCGGCAGCUCUAGUGGUAGCAGUUUUUAUUGGGCCUAAAGCGUCCGUAGCCGGUUUAAUAAGUCUCUGGUGAAAUCCUGUAGCUUAACUGUGGGAAUUGCUGGAGAUACUAUUAGACUUGAGACCGGGAGAGGUUAGAGGUACUCCCAGGGUAGAGGUGAAAUUCUGUAAUCCUGGGAGGACCGCCUGUUGCGAAGGCGUCUAACUGGAAAGGUUCUGACGGUGAGGGACGAAAGUUAGGGGCGCGAACCGGAUUAGAUACCCGGGUAAUCCUAACUGUAAGCGAUGCGGACUUGGUGUUGGGGUGGCUUUGAGCUGCUCCAGUGCCGAAGGGAAGCUGUUAAGUCCGCCGCCUGGGAAGUACGGUCGCAAGACUGAAACUUAAAUGAAUUGGCGGGG
rnacentral:rRNA from 1 species